rnacentral:rRNA from 1 species
UACGGAGGAUGCAAGCGUUAUCCGGAAUGAUUGGGCGUAAAGCGUCCGCAGGUGGCUGUGUAAGUCUGCUGUCAAAGAGCAAAGCUCAACUUUGUAAAGGCAGUGGAAACUACACGGCUAGAGUGCGUUCGGGGCAGAGGGAAUUCCUGGUGUAGCGGUGAAAUGCGUAGAUAUCGAGAGGAACACCUGCGGCGAAGGCGGGUUGCUGGGCUGACACUGACGCUGAAGCGCGAAAGCUAGGGGAGCGAACGGG